rnacentral:tRNA from 1 species
GAGGGUAGAGCUCAGUGGUAGAGUGAGUGCUUAGCAUGCGUGAGGUCCUGGGUUCGAUCCCCAGUAUCUCCA